CCAACCUAUGGCUGGAAUGGAUUCAGUAUACAGCUAGAUCAGUAGCUAAAGAAGAAUGUUAUGGCUGCGCAACAGCCAAAACCUCAGUUGACAACCAUCCCCUUUCCACUCGAUGGAAUUGAUUUACCAAGGGGAAUGGCCUGUAUGGUAAAGCUGGUCAUGAAGGCAGGGAAGCCAGACAGGGAAAGCCAGACAAUAACAGUUGUACUGAUCUGCAUUAUCUGUAUCCUAUGUGCCCAUUAGAUCCAGACUUCCCCCUUUCACAGUCGCAGGAGGAGACUAUUAUUGUAUGGCUUGACACAAUAUACACGGACGGGAUGUAGGGGAAGUGAGAACACGCAAAAGAACAGAGAGGGAGAAGGAGUGUUCCGUCUGGGUCCUUAGACGAUAGAGCUUACAUUGAUAGCAUUGGGGUUCCAAGGGGGGUGCCUAAUGAGUUUAAAGCUAGGAAUCAGAUAUUGGCUGGAUUAGAAUCAAGCAUCUUCUGGUGGUCAACCCUCAAUAGAAAUGUAGAUUGGAUAAAUUAUAUUUAUUAUAACCAACAGCAGUUCAUCAACUAUACUAGAGAUGCAAUAAAAGGAUUAGCAGAACAGACAGAGGCAACUAGUUUGAUGGCUUGGCAGAAUAGAAUAGCAUUGGAUAUGUUACUGGUGGAGAAGGGUGGUGUGUGUGUGUGAUAUUCGGAUCAAUGUGCUGUACUUUCAUCCCAAAUAACACAGCUCCAGAUGGAUCAGUGGCCAAGGCCCUGGCAGGUUUAACCACAUUGGCUAACGAGUUAGUAGAGAACUCUGGGGUGGAUACCUCACUGACUGGGUGAUGCGAUGGUAUGUUUGGAAAAAUUGAAAAAUGUUAUAAUCACUGUGUUGUGGGCUUCUUUCACCGGUAUGAGUGUGUUGAUAUUGUGUGAUUGAUGAAUAUAUGCCAAGUAUGAAAGUUUUAAUCACCAGAAUUCUGGAGAGAUUGAUAACGGAGCAGAUGGUGAGGUACGGAUCGAGUCCAAGUUCAGACCUGUGGGACGGCUGCCUGUAUAAUCCCUUGCUUAAGAAAGUCUCUUACAGAUGUUGUCAGAGCUGCAGGACCAGUAUGAGGCUACGGAUAUGUCAGGAGCAUGAGGACGCAGACACCCCGUUAUCCUGGGAGUGCGAUGGCCGCCUUGAUCGACUACAUUCAGCGCAGAGACUAGGAGGGGGUAGCUGCUGUGUCCAGGCCCGCCGCAGCCAGCACCACCCCCGCCAGCACCACCCGGCCCAAGAGCUUCUUGGUCCUGCGAUCUCUGCAUUCCUUUCAAGGCGCUCUCUCGCCCAGGUGAACUGCAGGCGAAGAUGAAGAAAUAGGGGUGUCUUUCCCUCGACCAGCACUGCCACCAACAGAUCAAUCGGACGCAGAGCUGGUCAAAGCUGCUGCUGACAUAGACACAUGUAUGUUUUUACGUCACUAUUAAUUGACAGGAAAUUCGAUACGUUUUGAUAAGUAUUCAGUUAAAUUUUCUUGACAUAUUAAAGUGUGUUAAAUUUGUCGCUAUCGUCAGCCCAAGGAAAUGUAUUGGUAAGAGUCAUCUGGGUUUAGAGAAGAGUCACUGCAUGUAUGAACUAUUAACUGAAUCACUGUUAUCUUCAUUUGUAAUAUGUCUGUCCAUUCAUGCUUGCAUUUAUUUUAUUUAUUAAUUCAUUCAUUUAACCUAUUUAUUUCUGUCACUGCAAAAGCCGUAGCCCUACAGGUCCCCCGAUCGCUCCCUCGGCCUCUGCCCCCAACUGACCAAGCCCCGGUUCCUGCCCCGGUUCCUAUAAUUACUCCACAUUGUUAAGAUAUUAAACACUAUACCAAAUUGGACCGCUAGCGUCCCACAUACCCCAGAGAGGUUAACACUAGUAUAUAGAUUCCUAAAAACAGUAGUGCAACACUAAAUCAAUGACGAUAUAAUUUUCAAUUGUCUUUUUUUGUACAUUUGUGGACAUUUGCGAACAUGUGCAUGGCUCCCGUUGAUGACCUCACAGCAUUAACACAAUUUAGAAAAUAAAUACAAUACAAUAGUUCACUCUUAAAAGUAGUGUAACACAUCUCAAAAUAACCUUAAAACAAUUAUAAUAAAUAUGAGGGAUUUUCGGUGAAAUACAUAAGGUAUAUGUUAUACCUGUAAAACGUACGUAGCAUUUGCUUCGGCACAGGUGUUGUGCUGAAAAUCUCCCCUCUGCCAGAAUCCCCCCCUUCGCGUUCUUCAUUGCUGCGACUUGAUUGCUAGUUGUCGUUUCUGCUCUCCACUCCUUUGUCAGUUUAGCGUACAUUUCACUGAUCUUAGUAGCAGAAAGCAUUUUUGUCUGCAGUUUUCGGUUUGGCUAUUUGUUUCAAGUGUAUGUAGCGGUUCUAGCUUGUAUGGCGCCCGCCUCGCCCACACCCGGGAGUGCCCCUUGUCGCCCCCGGCAAGAUGCCCCUGGGCGGCUGCCUAAGUCGCCUGUACCUAAAUCCGCUACUGAUUUUUGUAUUAGUCUAUAAAUAAAUCUCUUUGCCAAAAAUCGUCACAUCUCCAAUGUCUUAUUCAACUAGUAUUUUUGAAAGUGUAAGGAUAAUAAUUCAUAGUUGUUCUGAAAUGUUUAUUGCUUGCCAACAUUUUACUCCCUCCUCUAUGUUUAAUAUAACACACAUACAUUCAUUAUUAAUUUUGGUUGCCUAUCCUGACGUGAAGUUUGUUCUAUAGAAAGUAUUUGACUCUGAUGUGUGUCACAGAAAGUAUUUGACUCGAGCCA
rnacentral:lncRNA from 1 species